GAUGGACGCUGGCGGCGUGCCUAAUACAUGCAAGUCGAGCGAACGGACGAGAAGCUUGCUUCUCUGAUGUUAGCGGCGGACGGGUGAGUAACACGUGGAUAACCUACCUAUAAGACUGGGAUAACUUCGGGAAACCGGAGCUAAUACCGGAUAAUAUUUUGAACCGCAUGGUUCAAAAGUGAAAGACGGUCUUGCUGUCACUUAUAGAUGGAUCCGCGCUGCAUUAGCUAGUUGGUAAGGUAACGGCUUACCAAGGCAACGAUGCAUAGCCGACCUGAGAGGGUGAUCGGCCACACUGGAACUGAGACACGGUCCAGACUCCUACGGGAGGCAGCAGUAGGGAAUCUUGCGCAAUGGGCGAAAGCCUGACGGAGCAACGCCGCGUGAGUGAUGAAGGUCUUCGGAUCGUAAAACUCUGUUAUUAGGGAAGAACAUAUGUGUAAGUAACUGUGCACAUCUUGACGGUACCUAAUCAGAAAGCCACGGCUAACUACGUG
rnacentral:rRNA from 1 species